AACCCGCCAUCGAAUGAGGCAAGACUACCCGCUGAACUUAAGCAUAUCACUAAGCGGAGGAGAAGAAACUAACCAGGAUGCCCCUAGUAAUGGCGAAUGAAGCGGGCUGAGCUCACGCUGCCAAUCUGGAGGCCUCGCGUAUGCAGCGCCCCCCGAAUUGUGGUCUAGAGAGGCGUUAUCGGCCGCGCCCGCCGCUCAAGUCCCUUGGAACAGGGUGUCGGAGAGGGUGAGAAUCCCGUACCGUGGCGGGUUGCGGCCUUACGAUGCGUCCUCGUCGAGUCGGGUUGCUUGGGAUUGCAGCUUGAAUUGGGUGGUAAAUUCCAUCUAAAGCUAAAUACUGGCGAGAGACCGAUAGCGAACAAGUACCGUGAGGGAAAGAUGCAAAGAACUUUGAAAAGAGAGUCAAAGAGUGCUUGAAAUCGGUAGGAGGAAACCCGGAUGGGCCCGGCUUCGGCGCGCCGACUCAGCCUGGGGUUCUCCCCAGGUGCACUUCUGCGCGCCGGGUCAGCCGCGCCUCGGCGCCGCGCCUCAACCCGGGAGCGGGGCUUUACGGCCAGCUCCCGUCCUGGCGCGGCCCGGGGCCCGGCUGACGGAACGGGCCCCUCCGACCCGUCUAGAAACACGGACCAAGGAGUCUGACACGUGUGCGAGUACCCGGGUGGCAAGCCCGCGUGCGGAAUGAAAGUGAAGGGCAUGCCCUGCCAACCGACCUUGACCUGCUGUGAGGGGUUUGAGUGGAGCACACCUGUCGGGACCCGAAAGAUGGUGAACUAUGCCUGGGUAGGGUGAAGCCAGAGGAAACUCUGGUGGAGGCUCGUAGCGAUACUGACGUGCAAAUCGUUCGUCGAAUCUGGGUAUAGGGGCGAAAGACUAAUCGAACCAUCUAGUAGCUGGUUCCCUCCGAAGUUUCCCUCAGGAUAGCUUGAACGCAACGGUUUUGUCAGGUAAAGCGAAUGAUUAGAGGCCUGUGGGCUGAAACAGCUUGCACCUAUUCUCAAACUUUAAAUGGGCAAGAGGCCCGGGAUGCUUGAGUGAUCCCGGGCGGCGAACGGCGCGUUCAAAGUGGGCCAUUUUUGGUAAGCAGAACUGGCGAUGCGGGAUGAACCGAACGCCGCGCUAAGGUACCCAAGUGUCCGCUCAUCAGAUACCACAAAAGGCGUUGGUACCUCCAGACAGCAGGACGGUGGCCAUGGAAGUCGGAACCCGCUAAGGAGUGUGUAACAACUCACCUGCCGAAGGUACUAGCCCUGAAAAUGGAUGGCGCUCAAGCGGACCACCGAUGCGCGGCCGCCGGCGCGAGCGCGAGGCGCCGGCGAGUAGGAGGGCGCGGGGCUCGCGGCGCAGCCUUGGGCGCGAGCCUGGGUGAAGCGGGCCCCGGUGCAGAUCUUGGUGGUAGUAGCAAAUAUUCAAAUGAGAACUUUGAAGACUGAAGUGGAGAAAGGUUCCGUGUGAACAGCAGUUGGACACGGGUGAGCCGACCCUAAGAGACAGGAAAACUCCGCCGAACGCGGCUGGUUCUGUCAGCCCGUCCGUCGAAAGGGAAUCGGGUUAAUAUUCCCGAGCCAGCGCGUGGAUGGUGGGCGGCGACGCGAACGAACCCGGAGACGCCGGCGGGAGCCCUGGGAAGAGUUCUCUUUUCUUCUUAACUGCCUCCUGCCCUGGAAUCGGUUUAGCCGGAGCGAGGGCUACACGGCAGGCAAAGCACCCUAAGUCUUGGGGUGUCCGGCGCGCUCCCGACGGCCCGUGAAAAUCCGGGGGAGCGGUUCGUUCUCACGCCUGGUCGUACUCAUAACCGCAUCAGGUCUCCAAGGUGAACAGCCUCUAGUCGAUAGAGCAAUGUAGGUAAGGGAAGUCGGCAAAAUGGUUCCGCAACCUCGGGAGAAGGAAUGGCUCUGAAGGCUGGGCGCAGGGGUCCUAGGCUCGAGGCCGGCUGGCUGCGCGGGGACUACGGCCUCACGGCUGCGGAUCCCGCGCGGCCGUCCGGCGGACGGCCUAGGAGCGCUCCGGCUCUCCCUGCGCGACGAACAGCCGCUUCAGAACUGGCGCGGACAAGGGGAAUCCGACUGUUUAAUUAAAACAAAGCAUUGCGAUGGCCCGCGAGGGUGCUGACGCAAUGUGAUUUCUGCCCAGUGCUCUGAAUGUCAAAGUGAAGAAAUUCAACCAAGCGCGGGUAAACGGCGGGAGUAACUAUGACUCUCUUAAGGUAGCCAAAUGCCUCGUCAUCCAAUUAGUGACGCGCAUGAAUGGAUUCGUGAGAUUCCCACUGUCCCUAUCUACUGUCUAGCGAAACCACAGCCAAGGGAACGGGCUUGGAAGAAUCAGCGGGGAAAGAAGACCCUGUUGAGCUUGACUCUAGUCUGUUACUGUGGAACGACUUGAUGGGUGUAGAAUAUGCGGGAGGGGCAACCCGACAGUGAAAUACCGCAACCGUCAACGUUGUUUUACUUACUCGGUGGCGCGGAGGGAGGCUCGCCUCACUUCUGGAUCCAAGCCGCUUCGUGCGCGCGAUCCGCGUCGGGGACACUAACAGGUGGGGAGUUUGGCUGGGGCGGCACGUCUGUUAAAAAAUAACGCAGGCGCCCGAUUUUGAGCUCAAUGAGAACAGAAAUCUCAUGUGGACCGAAAGGGGAAAAGCUCGGUUGAUUUUGAUUUUCAGUACGAAUACAAACCGCGAAAGCGUGGCCUAUCGAUCCUCUCGUCUUUGGGAAUUUCAAGCUAGAGGUGUCAGAAAAGUUACCACAGGGAUAACUGGCUUGUGGCUGCCAAGCGUUCAUAGCGACGUAGCUUUUUGAUCCUUCGAUGUCGGCUCUUCCUAUCAUUCAGAAGCAGAAUUCUGAUAGUGUCGGAUUGUUCACCCGCCAAUAGGGAACGUGAGCUGGGUUUAGACCGUCGUGAGACAGGUUAGUUUUACCCUACUGCUGUCUGUUUUUCUACGGUAAUUUGGUUCAGUACGAGAGGAACCACCAAUUCGCAUCAUCGGUAUAGCCGCCGCCGGAAACGGCGAUGCGGCGAAGCUGCCAUGCGCCGGAUUAUAACUGAACGCCUCUAAGUUAGAAUCCAUGCCGGAAGGAAAGCCACCUACCGGCCCGGGGACGCCACGAGCAACGGUAGCACUGCCUGAGCCGCGAGCGACCACAAUUCACGGACCCGGGCCGACGAAUCCCUUGCAGACGACUUG
rnacentral:rRNA from 1 species